rnacentral:rRNA from 1 species
AGAGUUUGAUCAUGGCUCAGAAUCAACGCUGGCGGCGUGCCUCAGACAUGCAAGUCGAACGCGAAAGUCCCCUUCGGGGGACGAGUAGAGUGGCGUCCGGGUGAGUAACACGUGAGUAAUUUGCCUUCGGGUGGGGAAUAACAGCCGGAAACGGCUGCUAAUACCGCAUGAUGCAGCGGCACCUCAUGGUGACAGUUGUUAAAGCGGGGGAUUCUUCGGAACCUCGCGCCUGAAGAGAAGCUCGCGGCAGAUUAGCUAGUUGGUAGGGUAACGGCCUACCAAGGCAACGAUCUGUAGCCGGCCUGAGAGGGCGGUCGGCCACACUGACACUGACACACGGGUCAGACUCCUACGGGAGGCAGCAGUCGGGAAUUUUGGGCAAUGGGCGAAAGCCUGACCCAGCAACGCCGCGUGAAGGAUGAAGUUUUUCGGAAUGUAAACUUCACAAGAAUGGGAAGAAUAAGUGGGGGAUAAUACCCCCCAUGAUGACGGUACCAUUUGUAAGCUCCGGCUAACUCCGUGCCAGCAGCCGCGGUAAUACGGGGGGAGCAAGCGUUGUUCGGAUUUACUGGGCGUAAAGGGCGCGUAGGCGGCGCAACAAGUCACUUGUGAAAUCUCCGGGCUUAACCCGGAGCGGUCAAGUGAUACUGUCGUGCUAGAGUGCGGAAGGGGCAACUGGAAUUCUCGGUGUAGCGGUGAAAUGCGUAGAUAUCGAGAGGAACACCUGCGGCGAAGGCGGGUUGCUGGGCCGACACUGACGCUGAGGCGCGAAAGCCAGGGGAGCGAACGGGAUUAGAUACCCCUGUAGUCC